AUAAACAACAAUUUUCUCAGUUUUAAUGUUCUUCUAUCUCGCAAAAAUUAUGCACAAAAUAUGCAUAGCAAUUUUAUAGUAUAGCAACAAACAGGGACAGGAAUUCCGCCGACAGCGAAUCUAUACAUCAAAAUCGCAUCAAAAACACUGUGCCAACUCGAAAUUAUAUAUCUAUCUUUGCAAAAAAAACAACCUGUGAACGAGCUGAAAAACGUUCAAGACUUCUUCCGAAGGCACGACUAACAAUGAUGAUGAUGAUGCUGCGACACACGAACGACAUGAUGAUGGGCAGUGGCGAUGGGACUAUUUACACUGCCUUGCGGUCUUCCACACCACAAAAAAGUGACAAUUUCACAUUUGUCAGGAACAUAAUUUUGACAGAAAUAUUAUAAUCCAACGGUCGGUCGAGAUGGCAAUAAUCCAAACAAUGAGUGACAGAAUCAUCAUAAAGCUGCAUACCAGAAGCACUCGCCUCUGGAACAUGUACGCAUCCAUUGCAG